CUGUUGAGCUUGACUCUAGUCCGACUUUGUGAAGAGACAUGGCGGGUGUAGCAGUAAGUGGGAGACUCGGUGUCUGCUGCCGGGUACGACAAUGAAAGACCACUCCCAUCAUUGUUUCUUUACUUAUUCAGUGAGGCGGGAUAGGCAGCAAUGUGUAUGGAAAUAGUUGCAUUGGCAUUAAAGCACGUGCCGGCGUGUGGGGCUUCAUUAUCGAUAUGAAAAAGAGUUGGGAGACUGGUAGAACAGUUUUGUCACCAACGCCAUGGCCAGACGUGUUCGCUUGUAAAGAAAGCACAG
rnacentral:ncRNA from 1 species